CAGGCACAUUAUUAAAAACCUGGCACUGCUGUCGGUGUUUGGGUGUUGGAAGUGUGCAAGAGUGACUUGGCCGGGAUUUCGCUAACACCAUGAGGGUUUUGCCCCAUGACUGGGGUUUGAUAGUAACCUGAGCCACAAUA
ensembl:snoRNA SNORA62 Small nucleolar RNA SNORA62/SNORA6 family